GUCCUUUUGUAGUUCAUUAGUGUGAUGGUUGGGUUUUCACGAUCAUGUGUGAGAUGUGCCUCCCUCAAACCUUGUUACGAUGUUGGAACAUUACCCAUUUGACA
ensembl:snoRNA